CCCUAUGGGGUGCAGCAGGUGAGCAUGUGCGCCCGGUAGACCUGGAUAAAUCAGUCAUUUACCGUAAAGAGCAAGUGUAGACCCUAUGAUGAAAAGACUUUCUCGCGGUGUAGCUGUUGUUGGUGUCGGGAUGAGCAAAUUCGGGGCAUUUCCUGAGAAAACUUCCCGUGAUUUGUGUGUUGAAGCCUACAAAGAGCUCAAGAAAAGUGUUCAAAAAGGAUUCAGCCCCGAGGACAUUGAAGCUUUCUAUAUGGGCAACUUCACCUCUGAUCAUUUCGAGAAUCAAGCCAACCUGGCACCCGUCGGUGCCAGCUGGGGAGGAAUUUCACCCGUUGCAAGCACGCGCAUUGAAGAUGCAUGUGCGAGUGGAGGUGUAGCACUCCGCCAGGGUGUUUUGACAAUUGCCUCAGGCGAAGUGGAUGUCGUCCUGGCGGGGGGGC
rnacentral:rRNA from 1 species